AGGAGUUCCAAGGGGUGCCUUGCGCGGGUUUUGCGUCGGGCUGAGACAUCACCCUUAGGACCGGAUCCGGGUCAUGCCGGCGUCGGGAUGGAGCGGUCGAUGGAC
rnacentral:ncRNA from 2 species